AUUGAACGCUGGCGGCAUGCCUUACACAUGCAAGUCGAACGGUACAGGUUAAGCUGACGAGCGGCGAACGGGUGAGUAAUAUAUCGGAACGUGCCCAGUCGUGGGGGAUAACGUAGCGAAAGCUACGCUAAUACCGCAUACGAUCUACGGAUGAAAGCGGGGGAUCGCAAGACCUCGCGCGAUUGGAGCGGCCGAUAUCAGAUUAGGUUGUUGGUGAGGUAAAAGCUCACCAAGCCUGCGAUCUGUAGCUGGUCUGAGAGGACGACCAGCCACACUGGAACUGAGACACGGUCCAGACUCCUACGGGAGGCAGCAGUGGGGAAUUUUGGACAAUGGACGCAAGUCUGAUCCAGCAAUGCCGCGUGCAGGACGAAGGCCUUCGGGUUGUAAACUGCUUUUGUACGGAACGAAACGGUGAGCUCUAAUACAGUUUGCUAAUGACGGUACCGUAAGAAUAAGCACCGGCUAACUACGUGCCAGCCGCCGCCGUAA
rnacentral:rRNA from 1 species